UAAGUUAUUAAGGGCGCACGGUGGAUGCCUUGGCACUAGAAGCCGAUGAAGGACGUUACUAACGACGAUAUGCUUUGGGGAGCUGUAAGUAAGCUUUGAUCCAGAGAUUUCCGAAUGGGGAAACCCAGCAUGAGUUAUGUCAUGUUAUCGAUAUGUGAAUACAUAGCAUAUCAGAAGGCACACCCGGAGAACUGAAACAUCUUAGUACCCGGAGGAAGAGAAAGAAAAUUCGAUUCCCUUAGUAGCGGCGAGCGAAACGGGUAAGAGCCCAAACCAACAAGCUUGCUUGUUGGGGUUGUAGGACACUCUAUACGGAGUUACAAAGGACGACAUUAGACGAAUCAUCUGGAAAGAUGAAUCAAAGAAGGUAAUAAUCCUGUAGUCGAAAAUGUUGUCUCUCUUGAGUGGAUCCUGAGUACGACGGAGCACGUGAAAUUCCGUCGGAAUCUGGGAGGACCAUCUCCUAAGGCUAAAUACUCUCUAGUGACCGAUAGCGAACCAGUACCGUGAGGGAAAGGUGAAAAGCACCCCGGAAGGGGAGUGGAAUAGAACCUGAAACCGUGUGCUUACAAGUAGUCAGAGCCCGUUAAUGGGUGAUGGCGUGCCUUUUGUAGAAUGAACCGGCGAGUUACGAUUUGAUGCAAGGUUAAGCAGUAAAUGUGGAGCCGUAGCGAAAGCGAGUCUGAAUAGGGCGUUUUAGUAUUUUGGUCGUAGACCCGAAACCAGGUGAUCUACCCUUGGUCAGGUUGAAGUUCAGGUAACACUGAAUGGAGGACCGAACCGACUUACGUUGAAAAGUGAGCGGAUGAACUGAGGGUAGCGGAGAAAUUCCAAUCGAACCUGGAGAUAGCUGGUUCUCUCCGAAAUAGCUUUAGGGCUAGCCUCAAGUGAUGAUUAUUGGAGGUAGAGCACUGUUUGGACGAGGGGCCCCUCUCGGGUUACCGAAUUCAGACAAACUCCGAAUGCCAAUUAAUUUAACUUGGGAGUCAGAACAUGGGUGAUAAGGUCCGUGUUCGAAAGGGAAACAGCCCAGACCACCAGCUAAGGUCCCAAAAUAUAUGUUAAGUGGAAAAGGAUGUGGCGUUGCCCAGACAACUAGGAUGUUGGCUUAGAAGCAGCCAUCAUUUAAAGAGUGCGUAAUAGCUCACUAGUCGAGUGACACUGCGCCGAAAAUGUACCGGGGCUAAACAUAUUACCGAAGCUGUGGAUUGUCCUUUGGACAAUGGUAGGAGAGCGUUCUAAGGGCGUUGAAGCAUGAUCGUAAGGACAUGUGGAGCGCUUAGAAGUGAGAAUGCCGGUGUGAGUAGCGAAAGACGGGUGAGAAUCCCGUCCACCGAUUGACUAAGGUUUCCAGAGGAAGGCUCGUCCGCUCUGGGUUAGUCGGGUCCUAAGCUGAGGCCGACAGGCGUAGGCGAUGGAUAACAGGUUGAUAUUCCUGUACCACCUAUAAUCGUUUUAAUCGAUGGGGGGACGCAGUAGGAUAGGCGAAGCGUGCGAUUGGAUUGCACGUCUAAGCAGUAAGGCUGAGUAUUAGGCAAAUCCGGUACUCAUUAAGGCUGAGCUGUGAUGGGGAGAAGACAUUGUGUCUUCGAGUCGUUGAUUUCACACUGCCGAGAAAAGCCUCUAGAUAGAAAAUAGGUGCCCGUACCGCAAACCGACACAGGUAGUCAAGAUGAGAAUUCUAAGGUGAGCGAGCGAACUCUCGUUAAGGAACUCGGCAAAAUGACCCCGUAACUUCGGGAGAAGGGGUGCUCUUUAGGGUUAACGCCCAGAAGAGCCGCAGUGAAUAGGCCCAAGCGACUGUUUAUCAAAAACACAGGUCUCUGCUAAACCGUAAGGUGAUGUAUAGGGGCUGACGCCUGCCCGGUGCUGGAAGGUUAAGAGGAGUGGUUAGCUUCUGCGAAGCUACGAAUCGAAGCCCCAGUAAACGGCGGCCGUAACUAUAACGGUCCUAAGGUAGCGAAAUUCCUUGUCGGGUAAGUUCCGACCCGCACGAAAGGCGUAACGAUUUGGGCACUGUCUCAACGAGAGACUCGGUGAAAUCAUAGUACCUGUGAAGAUGCAGGUUACCCGCGACAGGACGGAAAGACCCCGUGGAGCUUUACUGUAGCCUGAUAUUGAAAUUCGGCACAGCUUGUACAGGAUAGGUAGGAGCCUUUGAAACGUGAGCGCUAGCUUACGUGGAGGCGCUGGUGGGAUACUACCCUAGCUGUGUUGGCUUUCUAACCCGCACCACUUAUCGUGGUGGGAGACAGUGUCAGGCGGGCAGUUUGACUGGGGCGGUCGCCUCCUAAAAGGUAACGGAGGCGCUCAAAGGUUCCCUCAGAAUGGUUGGAAAUCAUUCAUAGAGUGUAAAGGCAUAAGGGAGCUUGACUGCGAGACCUACAAGUCGAGCAGGGUCGAAAGACGGACUUAGUGAUCCGGUGGUUCCGCAUGGAAGGGCCAUCGCUCAACGGAUAAAAGCUACCCCGGGGAUAACAGGCUUAUCUCCCCCAAGAGUUCACAUCGACGGGGAGGUUUGGCACCUCGAUGUCGGCUCAUCGCAUCCUGGGGCUGUAGUCGGUCCCAAGGGUUGGGCUGUUCGCCCAUUAAAGCGGUACGCGAGCUGGGUUCAGAACGUCGUGAGACAGUUCGGUCCCUAUCCGUCGUGGGCGUAGGAAAUUUGAGAGGAGCUGUCCUUAGUACGAGAGGACCGGGAUGGACAUACCUCUGGUGUACCAGUUGUCGUGCCAACGGCAUAGCUGGGUAGCUAUGUGUGGACGGGAUAAGUGCUGAAAGCAUCUAAGCAUGAAGCCCCCCUCAAGAUGAGAUUUCCCAACUUCGGUUAUAAGAUCCCUCAAAGAUGAUGAGGUUAAUAGGUUCGAGGUGGAAGCAUGGUGACAUGUGGAGCUGACGAAUACUAAUCGAUCGAAGACUUAAUCA
rnacentral:rRNA from 1 species